UGGGCCAGCUGCACGUUGGGGCCCAGGGAGACAAGGUCGCAGGUGCACAGGGGCCGGGCCGCUCUGAGUGGCAGCGCGCCCAGGUGGCGCCCCUGAAAAGCGCUGGGGGGCUGCCCAGGGCUAAGCAGAAAGCAGCGUGGUGGAGAUCGUCCGCGAGGCUGCUGGACAUGGCCAGGGGUGCCGCAAAGGCAGCAGGAGGGGCCGGGACAGGCUGGCUGAGCAAUGGCCGCAGCAGCAGCAAGACGGUCCCCGAAGCCCUGUGCCGGGAACCUUGUGGGGCAGAGGGGCACAGCACCCCCUGCCUGGCUGCCUGCACCCUGAGGAGGCCCCCGCGCACAAGAAAACCAGCAGCAAGAGCAGCCCAAAGCAAACCCCGCUCCGGCCAGCAAAAUGUGGAGAAAGCAAGCUGAGGAUGGUGUGCAGGAGCUCCAUCACCACUCCCUGCAGCCUGGACCUCCCAGACUCAAGAUAAUCUUACUGCAGCAGCCUCCAGAGCAAUUGGGACUAGAGGUUCUCAUCCCUCCUUGGCCUCCCAAAGUGCUGGGACUACAGCUUCUGGAAGGAGCACCACUAGGUUGUGUAUAGCACCAGUGCCCCAGCAUGACCUUGGCUGCCCUGCAAUGGAAGGAACACUCACAAGCUGCAGGGUGUCUAUGGGAACAUGGUCAUCCUGGUUGGAGCAGCUGGAGAAAUUGGCAGCAGCAGAGGAAGGGCCCCUGGAGUCAGCUGUCAUGGAGGUGGCUGACCAAGCCUGGCACCUGAACGUCCCACUACUUCCUCUAGGCCUGGCUAGACCUGGCUCAGGAACUCGGUGCCCUGUCCACAGCCAAACAAAAAGCUGCUCUCUAGAGGGGUGGCAGCAGUCCAGCACGGUCCAGUGAGACCCCGAAGGUUCCAGGAGACCUUCAGUCCUGAGUCUCUUUCAGUCACUGUCUCCUGACUCGGAGUCUUCUGCGGACUCGGAUACGCUCUCUGGCAAGUCAUCUCCCAUCUGCUGGAACCUUCCCGACUCUGAGUCCCACAUGUAUUUGAUGGUCACCUUGAAUUCAGCCAUCUCAUACCCAAAAAGCUUCUGCAAGAGACAAAGGUGCCAGGCCCCUGAUGUCCCUCAAGGGCUGCAUUCUGGCUGUAAGUUACUGUCUGCUUUUACCCCAACUGUGAGGCGGGCACU